rnacentral:sRNA from 1 species
GCAUCCCUUUAAAUUCUAUAUGGUAUCACAAUUUAGCAAUUAACAAUAUAAUAUACUACUAGCUAGGACUUUUAGGUAUGCAAUAGUAUUUCUUUAAUUUUGUAUUUGAUCACUUAUUAUUCCUUCAUAGAUAAGAAUUUGUGUCAGAAGGUAUGUUAUAUCUGAUUCUUCCUACCCACAUAAGAAACACAUAAAAGUCACUAUAAACAUAAAAUUUUGAUUCUUUGAGCCCACAAUUUUUAAUACAAAAAAGUGGGGAUCAUAGCAUUGGAUAUCUUGUCGAAGUGUUUCAGAAUGAAAUGAAGCUACUUAAUUAUAAACCUUUACCGGAGACAUUUUCUAUUGUCAUUACCAUUAUAGGAUCCUUCAAGUACAUUACAGAAAAGUUGUAAUUUGACAUUCAGGAAAAUAUUUAAUGAGAAUUACACCUCUAAUCUCUGAAUAACCUGUUGGUAGUUAAAUAUGUUAGCAAAAACAAUGAAGAUAUCAAGUUUUACUGAUAUCCAUGUAAUAUGUUUGCUAUUGCAAAUAUACAUAUGUGCUUACAUGUAAAGUUGAGUCCAUACAUAAUAAAGUACUGUCUUCUCAAGUCUGAUGUCACAAUAAGACAUAUCAGUGGACCCAAAAUUAAAAACAAAAUGUACCUCCGAGAGCUAUUCUUCUGGAAUAUCUAUAGCGACUGGCCAGUCUUCAUGAAAAGACUCAAAGAAGGGAACACGGGAUCAGAAAGCCAAAAAGAAAAGACAUGGAGAAGUGCCUGAAGAUAUGAGUCACUGGAGCUCACAAAAAUGAUACCAACAGACAUGUUAAAGAGGACGGAGAAAACCUAUGAGGCUUCAACCCAACACGAAGAACAAUAAGCAGCUGAGGAAAAACUGGGAAUGAGAAAGGCAGCCUUCCCUGGGGGAGAAGUCACCAAGUGGUUGUUAAGUGAUUAUCUCUGAAAACAAACAUGCAGAUUGCCCACAAAAACAAGCACACAUAUUGGUUAUCAAUAUUGGAUUGAAGCAGAGAAGAGAGAAAACACUCACGUUUCUUCUGUUGUUUGAUUUCGACAACGCAAUGCUCAUAGCUACUCUUGGUGUGCUUGUGAGUUUCAGAGGCUUGGACUAACACCCAUAAUUGCCAAGAGAAUUUGAAGCCUCGGUAAGCUACAAACCCCUCUAUCAAAACUCAGUUUAGAAAUCGAAGGUAACACUUGGUUCUAAGUAUGUCAAAUGCUCCAAAAUCAAAUUAAGAAUUCAGCUAAUUAGCG